rnacentral:lncRNA from 1 species
CACUUCGUGACAAGCCCAACCAAACCCUAACCUCCUGCGUUCCCACGUUUUGGCUUACAUUCUGCUCAUGUGGGAACCAAAAUCUAUUUCUGCUGCAAGCUGACACUCCUCUUAUCUUGUCUAUGUCUCUUUGUACAUGUAUGUAUUUCUGUUUUUCUUUCCCCUUUCUUUCGUAGCCAUCUGAACCCUCGUACCAUGUUGCUGGCAUCUAUUUUUGCGUCCUUGCGUAGAACUAAGGUUUGCAAUACCACCUAGGAUGAUAUGAUAUAGGUCUGGUGCCUGCAGUUUUUUUUUCAAAAUUUUUCGGAUUAUUUUGAAACUUGCCACAUGUUGAUAAUACUGGGUGUUGGUACAUUGGUAUGGAUGAGUACCAAUCCGAACCUUGACCGGUUUAAAACCAGUACAAGAAAUUCCGAACCUUGCACAGAACCGCUACGACCC